UCAACAAGUAGGGUCAUGUUUAUCAUUUCUUACUGACCAAUAUUUUAGAGUAUUUUAAUAUCAGAACAUAGCAAAUUAAACUAAAAUUAAUCAUAUAAACGAUGUCUAUGAAAGCUUACUAAUGCAUAAUAUUUUGUCUUGAAACCAAAAUAAGAAUGUGAUAAUGAUUUCGCUUAUUUCGUUUCAGCUUUUGAAAGAUACCAUAUCCCCGACUCUUGAUUACAACUAGUGCGCUGUCUUCAAAUUUGCAAUACGGCGAAAGUGCAGAAAGUACAAUGCACCCAUAAUACGGGACAGUUGUGUUUUGUAUGUGCUGGAACCCCACCGUCUGCUCGAAGACGUCGGCCGUUCGUGACUCAAAGAUACCAAUUUUCAGGUUUUCUUCCGAUUUUACAACCACAUUGACAUUGACUUUGAGCGUAGGAUUCCUAAAUGAGGGUCAGAUGUUGUUGUGGUAUAUCGGACUCCUCAGCGUGGCUUCCUGAUUGUGAUAGCAAGCAAGCUGUUUUUAUUCCAUCAGAUGUAAGGUAUUAAAACCCUGGCAAGCAGUGGUCUUCCAUCAAAACAACAACUUUACAAACAAUUUGCAAGCUCAGUAUUUUACUUGGAUUGGAUUUUUAACAGGAAACAAGGUAUGUAUUAUGUUGGUUGGUUUGUUUUUACAUGACUGUUUUAUGUUUCUUUAUGUGUUCAUAUUUAUCUUAUGUUCAUUUGAAAAGUACUGUUUUAUUUAUAACCCAAGUAUUAUGAAAACACAAGUAUCCUGAUUUUGCUGUUUUUCAAUAGUAGGAAUUGAAAUAUGUACUUGCAUUUAUAAUUAAAAAAUAAAGCGCUUAGAAACAAAGUAUAAACAAAGGGCUAAAUAAACAUGACAAUUAUUAUUAUUAUUAUCAUUAUUGUUCAUGUAUGUGAACAUAAUUUCGCACAUCCAGAUUGAGUUGCACUUAAACUUGUACAUGAACCAUAAGGUAGACAUGCUAUUAAUUAUGUCCAUUUGAGUACUUUGUUCGCAUUACUCUUUCACAUCCAUACUCUGUGCAAGAAAACAAAAUCCGAAAUCUGAUUGGUUAAUAAACACGGUUGAGACAAUACCACGUAACUGAGAAUACAUCCUUUAGACAUUCAAUCCAUACAAAUACCGGCCUAAGCUGUCUAAGCUUUGCAGAAUUGGAUAAGUAAUGAAGGGUUUAGAUACAGCUUUAUUGAAAACAAAGCAUUUACAUUGCAGAAGCCAGGGUUGUUCAUCAGGCAUUUGUGGAAGUACCUCAUCUUUUCAUUAAAGUAUUCCAAGCCUGGAAUUAUUGGAGUAAUGAAGAGAUGGGAGGGUGAGACUGGAUGUCUAUGUGAUUCAUUUACGUUUUAUGCACAUGAACAGUGGCAUACAUUCCCCAUACUGCUGAAAACCAUUCCCCCCCCCCCCAAAAAAAAAAAAAAAAAAAAACGUAAGAAAAAGAGGGGGCAAGGGAAACAUAAAAUGGAGAGAGAUAAAAAGAAUGUUGAGCAGAAAAUAACACAACCAUGAUAAUCCUGCUAUGUAAUCCAGAUAUCAAAUUUCAAUUUCAAAUUUCAUUUAUUGGUCCAAAAGGUAAUUUGUUGCAUUUACAUGCGUUAUU